UAGGGAAUCUUCGGCAAUGGACGAAAGUCUGACCGAGCAACGCCGCGGGAGUGAAGAAGGUUUUCGGAUCGUAAAACUCUGUUGUUAGAGAAGAACAAGGACGUUAGUAACUGAACGUCCCCUGACGGUAUCUAACCAGAAAGCCACGGCUAACUACGUGGCAGCAGCCGCGGUAAUACGUAGGUGGCAAGCGUUGUCCGGAUUUAUGGGGCGUAAAGCGAGCGCAGGCGGUUUCUUAAGUCUGAUGUGAAAGCCCCCGGCUCAACCGGGGAGGGUCAUUGGAAACUGGGAAGCUUGCGUGCAGAAGAGGAGAGUGGAAUUCCAUAUGUAGCGGUGAAAUGCGUAGAUAUAUGGAGGAACACCAGUGGCGAAGGCGGCUCUCUGGUCUGUAACUGACGCUGAGGCUCGAAAGCGUGGGGAGCAAACAGG
rnacentral:rRNA from 1 species